CCAGACUCCUACGGGAGGCAGCAGUGGGGAAUAUUGCACAAUGGGGGAAACCCUGAUGCAGCGACGCCGCGUGAGUGAAGAAGUAAUUCGUUAUGUAAAGCUCUAUCAGCAGGGAAGAAAAUGACGGUACCUGAGUAAGAAGCCCCGGCUAACUACGUGCCAGCAGCCGCGGUAAUACGUAGGGGGCAAGCGUUAUCCGGAUUUACUGGGUGUAAAGGGAGCGUAGACGGCAGUGCAAGUCUGGAGUGAAAGGCCGGGGCCCAACCCCGGGACCGCUCUGGAAACUGCCCGGCUGGAGUGCGGGAGAGGUAAGCGGAAUUCCUAGUGUAGCGGUGAAAUGCGUAGAUAUUAGGAAGAACACCAGUGGCGAAGGCGGCUUGCUGGACAGUAACUGACGUUGAGGCUCGAAAGCGUGGGGAGCAAACAGGAUUAGAUACCCUCGUAAC
rnacentral:rRNA from 1 species